rnacentral:miRNA from 1 species
UGAGGCUAAUGCACUACUUCAC